rnacentral:misc_RNA from 1 species
GUUCAGGAUUUCAGUAUACACAUUGAAAGAUAAAAGCAAAACGAUCCUGUGGAACUAUAUCAUCAACAAACCAUGCAAACAUUAUAUGUUAGCUGCAUUUUUGGAAACACAAUUUGGUGUUCAGAACUGUGUUGUGAAAAAGGGUGAUUACUUUUUGGAUCUUAAUUUGACGGCAUUAAUGAUGAACUAUUUGGGCAACUCGUUCUUCUAUGGCGAAUAUUUAUUUAAAGUUAUCGUCACGUCUAAAAAAGGAAAUGCAAUUUGUCUACUUUUCGACCCGAAGUUUAAAAAGAAACCAAAGGUUUGAUAACAAAUAUUAUUUUCUCUACGAAAAGCAUGU